rnacentral:rRNA from 1 species
UACGUAGGCAGCGAGCGUUGUUCGGAGUUACUGGGCGUAAAGGGUGUGUAGGCGGUUUCUAAGUUUGGUGUGAAAUCUCCCGGCUCAACCGGGAGGGUGCGCCGAAAACUGGGAGACUAGAGUGCGGGAUGGGAGAGUAGAAUUCCUGGUGUAACGGUGAAUGCGUAGAUAUCAGGAGGAAUACCGGUGGUGUAGACGGCUCUCUGGACCGCCACUGACGCUGAGACACGAAGCGUGGGUAGCAAACAGG